UACAGAGGGUGCGAGCGUUAAUCGGAAUUACUGGGCGUAAAGCGCGCGUAGGCGGCUUUUCAAGUCGAUUGUGAAAUCCCCGGGCUUAACCUGGGAACUGCAGUCGAGACUGUCUAGCUAGAGUAUGGGAGAGGGAAGUGGAAUUUCAGGUGUAGCGGUGAAAUGCGUAGAUAUCGGAAGGAACACCAGUGGCGAAAAGCGGCUUCCUGGUCCAGCACCGACGUCAGGCACGAAAGCGUGGGGAGCAAAC
rnacentral:rRNA from 1 species